CCAUCAUGAUGAGACACUAUUUUUUUCAGUUCUGCUUCUGCAAAUUUCUUGAAGAAAACCAAAUACCUUACCAAAAACUCCUGAUAU
rnacentral:snoRNA from 1 species